GCCAGGCGUGGUGGUGCACGCCUGUAAUCCCAGCUACUUGGGAGGCUGAGGCAGGAGAAUUGUUUGAACCCAGGAGGCGGAGGUUGCAGUGAGCCAAGAUCACGCCACUGCACUUUAGCCUGGGUGACAGAGCAAGACUCUGUCUCAA
rfam:Chlorocebus sabaeus isolate 1994-021 chromosome 5, whole genome shotgun sequence.